GCGGACGGAUGGGAGCUUGCUCCCUGAAGUCAGCGGCGGACGGGUGAGUAACACGUGGGCAACCUGCCUGUAAGACUGGGAUAACUCCGGGAAACCGGGGCUAAUACCGGAUAACUCUUUUCCUCACAUGAGGAAAAGCUGAAAGAUGGUUUCGGCUAUCACUUACAGAUGGGCCCGCGGCGCAUUAGCUAGUUGGUGAGGUAACGGCUCACCAAGGCCACGAUGCGUAGCCGACCUGAGAGGGUGAUCGGCCACACUGGGACUGAGACACGGCCCAGACUCCUACGGGAGGCAGCAGUAGGGAAUCUUCCGCAAUGGACGAAAGUCUGACGGAGCAACGCCGCGUGAGUGAUGAAGGUUUUCGGAUCGUAAAACUCUGUUGUCAGGGAAGAACAAGUACCGGAGUAACUGCCGGUACCUUGACGGUACCUGACCAGAAAGCCACGGCUAACUACGUGCCAGCAGCCGCGGAAACGAG
rnacentral:rRNA from 1 species